rnacentral:snoRNA from 1 species
CUGCAGAGAGUUAUCCCGCUCUGAGCUGCUGUGCUCUCUGAGGGAGUCGCUCUGCUACAUGAACUCUCUGCGCUGAGCCUCGGCCCUCAGUCAUCUGCUGAGGGUUCAGCUCACCAGAGGACAGCC